rnacentral:rRNA from 1 species
UACAGAGGUCUCAAGCGUUUGUUCGGAUUCAUUGGGCGUAAAGGGUGCGUAGGCGGCGCGGUAAGUCGGGUGUGAAAUCUCGGAGCUUAACUCCGAAACUGCAUUCGAUACUGCCGUGCUUGAGGACUGGAGAGGAGACUGGAAUUUACGGUGUAGCGGUGAAAUGCGUAGAUAUCGUAAGGAAGACCAGUGGCGAAGGCGGGUCUCUGGGCAUGUCCUGACGCUGAGGAGCGAAAGUGUGGGGAGCGAACAGG